UAAAAAGAUGUGUUUCUAGUAAUAUGAUGGAUACCUUACUUUCGUGUAUUUGUCUAGUUCAUGCAAUGAGCUUUCCCGAGAACUGUCUUAUAUAUAUUUGGGGAGAGGAGCAAAAGGGGCCGAAGAGAAAGUAAUAUUGUCAGAUUUUCAACUGCAAAUUGCCAGCUAUGCACAAUUUUCAGCUUAAGCGAAUGAAGGCGAAGUCGUCAGGGAUCUUGCAGGAUCCGAGCAAGAGGAAUUAAAAAUCACAAGUAAUCUUGCGUUACGUGGAACUAGAACCAGAGUUUCUGAGAUAGUUUCAUGCCAUCAAACUGGUCAUCUCUGCACAGGAAUGAGGAGCCGGCAGGGAGGUGAUAGAAAAGUGCGCUUGGAAAGAGGAGUGAGUAGGGACGUGCGUGACACCUUUCUUCUCACCAGGCCAUGUUCCUGGCACCAAAAAUCGUUUUUGUGACGGUCAGUGUCAUCAUUCUUCUGUCCCCACAGGUUCAACUGGGUCUCUCACCCCCAUGUAUGUGGAGGGUCUUUUAUAUUAUUUGACAGCUACCUGGUCAUUUGGCACAUAGGUGCUUAGUGAUAUUGAAUGUCUCCUGGCUAGGACACAGCUAUUACCCACUUGGAUGCGAAGAGGAAACAGCAAGCUGUGAAAUGGCGGGGAGGGAUACUCGCGGAACCGAGAGCCAGAAGAUCCGUCACUUUCUACCUGAAGGCCUUGGGCGUAAAGCAGCAGUAAGAGAAGCAAGGUUCCAUUCACCUGCCAGAGUGGAUCCAUCACACAGACACUAAGACCUUGAGGUUGCCAACGCUCCUGUGACAGAGUUUGGAAUUGACCAAAACCAGUUGAGAGCAGCUGCAUCAAAUGAAUUAAAUGCGAACUGGUUUCCCAUUCACAUUAUUACAAGAAAUUUCUUUCUGCCACACACACGUACAGAGGGAGCGUGAUAUGAAGAAGUCAAGAUGGGGCUGGGUGGUGGAGGGAAGAGACAGCAACGAAGCAACACUCAAAAUUUUUUUUUUCUUUCUUCCUUU